UACGUAGGGGGCUAGCGUUGUCCGGAAUCAUUGGGCGUAAAGCGCGCGUAGGCGGCCAGAUUAGUCCGGUGUGAAAGUCAGAGGCUCAACCUUUGAAUGCCGCUGGAAACUGUCUGGCUUGAGUCCGGAAGAGGCGAGUGGAAUUCCUGGUGUAGCGGUGAAAUGCGUAGAUAUCAAGAGGAACACCUGCGGCGAAGGCGGGUUGCUGGGCCGACACUGACGCUGAGGCGCGAAAGCCAGGGGAGCGAACGGG
rnacentral:rRNA from 1 species